UGCUCACCAAUGAUGGUGGAAAAAAAAUGUCUGAACAAAUGAACUUAAUAUGACAUCACUCUUUUCUCUGAGGUGAGUG
rnacentral:snoRNA from 1 species